rnacentral:rRNA from 1 species
AGAGUUUGAUCCUGGCUCAGAUUGAACGCUGGCGGCAUGCCUUACACAUGCAAGUCGAACGGCAGCACGGGGGCAACCCUGGUGGCGAGUGGCGAACGGGUGAGUAAUACAUCGGAACGUGUCCUGUAGUGGGGGAUAGCCCGGCGAAAGCCGGAUUAAUACCGCAUACGCUCUACGGAGGAAAGGGGGGGAUCUUAGGACCUCCCGCUACAGGGGCGGCCGAUGGCAGAUUAGCUAGUUGGUGGGGUAAAGGCCUACCAAGGCGACGAUCUGUAGCUGGUCUGAGAGGACGACCAGCCACACUGGGACUGAGACACGGCCCAGACUCCUACGGGAGGCAGCAGUGGGGAAUUUUGGACAAUGGGGGCAACCCUGAUCCAGCAAUGCCGCGUGUGUGAAGAAGGCCUUCGGGUUGUAAAGCACUUUUGUCCGGAAAGAAAACGCCGUGGUUAAUACCCGUGGCGGAUGACGGUACCGAAGAAUA